UACGUAGGGGGCCAGCGUUGUCCGGAUUUAUUGGGCGUAAAGAGCGUGUAGGCGGCCAUACAGGUCAGCUGUGAAAACUCGAGGCUCAACCUCGAGACGUCGGUUGAAACCGUAUGGCUAGAGUCCGGAAGAGGAGAGUGGAAUUCCCGGUGUAGCGGUGAAAUGCGCAGAUAUCGGGAAGAACACCUAUGGCGAAGGCAGCUCUCUGGGACGGUACUGACGCUGAGACGCGAAAGCGUGGGGAGCAAACAGG
rnacentral:rRNA from 1 species